CGCCCACGGACUACUCAGAUCUGCCUUGGGAACCAGGGUCCUGGAUCAAGCUUGACCCCUCCUCCCCACCGGCUUUCCAGAAACAGGGUCGAUGCGAGAAGCGCAAGCGUUUUUAAAAGAGAUGGUUGCACAACAGCCUUUGAGAAGGAUUCCGGUUUAACAGAGCAUGAUCAUUGAAUUUCCAUAGGAUGGCAGAUGGAAUUUUUCAUCAGAGGACAACUCAAGUAGAUGGCACUGCUUGCCUGGAAAUUUGUGUUGACAAUUCUGAGGAUGUGUCUGAAACCAUCAGGACUUUGUGCCAUGAUUGGUUAUCAGUAUCUUCCGUGGACACAAGGUGGAAGAGUGGUGAUACCUGGAAAUCUCAGUCUAUACCCUUUACCUCCUAAGUACCUGCCAUGAGAGUGCAUACGACAGAGAGAGAGCAAGCAGGAACAGGAGGAGGGGAAGAAGGAGAA